rnacentral:rRNA from 1 species
UACGUAGGGUGCGAGCGUUGUCCGGAAUUAUUGGGCGUAAAGAGCUUGUAGGCGGUUUGUCGCGUCUGCUGUGAAAAUCCGGGGCUCAACCCCGGACUUGCAGUGGGUACGGGCAGACUAGAGUGUGGUAGGGGAGACUGGAAUUCCUGGUGUAGCGGUGAAACGCGCAGAUAUCAGGAGGAACACCGAUGGCGAAGGCAGGUCUCUGGGCCACUACUGACGCUGAGAAGCGAAAGCAUGGGGAGCGAACAGGAUUAGAUACCCU